CCUUGGUUCGCCCCCCCGUCCCUUGGUUCUAGUAAUAUCCAAUUCUUUGUUAACAGAAAAUCGUUUGUUUUUGGGGGGGGAUUCUGGGUUUUGCUCAUUUGGGGUUUUUCUCAAAGGAAAAAACCAAGUUUAAGGAUGAACAGUCUUGUGCUUGUGAAUAAACACUAGUUAUUCAGUGGGAACAAUUUAUUCUAAUGGUAAUUCAGUAAGGAAAGGUGGAAUGACAACCCAUAAAGCCUUUACAUGUUACCCUAAUAAAUACUGUUGGUUAAUUCACAGUGCUAUGUUUUCCAUUUCUGGAUGAUUGGUUUGCAAUGAAUAACAAUGGAUGUAAUAUGAUUUCUGCAUGAAGAACAAACAAGGCAGAAACAUAAUACUAAAGAUUGUUACACUUUUCAUUACGUCGCAAGAGAGACUCAACCCUACGACAACAUGAAAUGGUUCUGCUGUUAUGAGACUCAACCAGAGAUGUUUAUAUAUAUAUAUAUAUACUAGAUGACUACCAGGGGGUGCUGUUAUGAGACUCAACCAGAGAUGUUUAUAUAUAUAUAUACACUAGAUGACUACCAGGGGGUGCUGUUAUGAGACUCAACCAGAGAUAUGUUUAUAUAUAUAUAUAUAUAUACACUAGAUGACUACCAGGGGGUGCUGUUAUGAGACUCAACCAGAGAUAGAUGUUUAUAUAUAUAUAUACACUAGAUGACUACCAGGGGGUGCUGUUAUGAGACUCAACCAGAGAUGUUUAUAUAUAUAUAUACACUAGAUGACUACCAGGGGGGGCUGUUAUGAGACUCA
rnacentral:lncRNA from 1 species